rnacentral:rRNA from 1 species
AACGAACGCUGGCGGCAUGCCUAACACAUGCAAGUCGAACGAGAGCUUCGGCUCUAGUGGCGCACGGGUGCGUAACGCGUGGGAAUCUGCCCUUGGGUUCGGAAUAACAGUUGGAAACGACUGCUAAUACCGGAUGAUGAUGUAAGGCCAAAGAUUUAUCGCCCUGGGAUGAGCCCGCGUCGGAUUAGCUAGUUGGUGGGGUAAAGGCCUACCAAGGCGACGACCCGUAGCUGGUCUGAGAGGAUGAUCAGCCACACUGGGACUGAGACACGGCCCAGACUCCUACGGGAUGCAGCAGUGGGGAAUAUUGGACAAUGGGCGCAAGCCUGAUCCAGCAAUGCCGCGUGAGUGAUGAAGGCCUUAGGGUUGUAAAGCUCUUUUACCGGGGAAGAUAAUGACUGUACCGGGAGAAUAAGCCCCGGCUAACUCCGUGCCAGCCGCCGCGGUAA